UACGUAGGGUGCAAGCGUUGUCCGGAAUUAUUGGGCGUAAAGAGCGUGUAGGCGGCCCGAUUAGUCCGCUGUGAAAGUCCAGGGCUCAACCCUGGAAUGCCGGUGGAAACUGUCGGGCUAGAGUCCGGAAGGGGCGAGUGGAAUUCCUGGUGUAGCGGUGAAAUGCGCAGAUAUCAGGAGGAAUACCAAUGGCGAAGGCAGCUCGCUGGGACGUGACUGACGCUGAGACGCGAAAGCGUGGGGAGCAAACAGG
rnacentral:rRNA from 1 species